GAUGAACGCUAGCGGGAGGCCUAACACAUGCAAGCCGAGCGGUAUGGAUAGCUUGCUAUCCAGAGAGCGGCGUACGGGUGCGUAACACGUGUGCAACCUACCUUUAUCUGGGGGAUAGCCUUUCGAAAGGAAGAUUAAUACCCCAUAAUAUAAUGAUUGGCAUCAAUUAUUAUUGAAAACUCCGGUGGAUAGAGAUGGGCACGCGCAAGAUUAGAUAGUUGGUGAGGUAACGGCUCACCAAGUCAAUGAUCUUUAGGGGUCCUGAGAGGGAGAUCCCCCACACUGGUACUGAGACACGGACCAGACUCCUACGGGAGGCAGCAGUGAGGAAUAUUGAACAAUGGGUGAGAGCCUGAUCCAGCCAUCCCGCGUGAAGGAUGACGGUCCUAUGGAUUGUAAACUUCUUUUGUACAGGGAUAAACCUACCCUCGUGAGGGUAGCUGAAGGUACUGUACGAAUAAGCACCGGCUAACUCCGUG
rnacentral:rRNA from 1 species